rnacentral:tRNA from 2 species
AUAUGUUCKGGGACGGAAGGAUUCRAACCUCCRAAUAGCGGGACCAAAACCCGAUGCCUUACC